rnacentral:lncRNA from 1 species
CCUGGAGGGGAAUCUGCCCCUGGUGCUGGCACUGGCUCAACAGCUGGCACUGGAAAUCGCUGUAUUUCUGCACCUGAAGCAGGAGCUGAAAAAGGAGAGAGGUCACCAAUACCACUCACUUUCCACUGGAAUUUCCAAACAUGAAAACAACCUCAUUGAAUUUAAAGGAAUUUCAGCCUGAAAACAUUGUCCCUGGAAAGACUUCCAGACUGCAGGUGACCUCAGCAUGUGCCUGUGUCUCAAUGAGCUCCAGAGGCUCCAGCUGGACAAGGACAAUGUGCAGAUGUGGCCCUGGUGGGAUCACUGGUGAGGCCUGGCCUGGUAGCUCCAUCUGGGGCCUGAUGUCUACCUGGUGACUCCUGUCCUGUGGUACCUGGGCGGGGGGCUUCUGCCAAAUGGCCAGAGGCAUCUGGGGUGAGGGAUGAGCCUACAAGGGCGUCAUCAGCAAAGAAAGGCUCUCACUCCUGCCAUUCCUGAAGCAGGAGCCUUGAGAUGUGGGGAUGCAGCACAAGAACAUCUUGCUCUCUUGAGCGUCUCCCACCAAGUGAGCUGGCUAUGGGGCUAAUGCUAGGAUGUGGGUGCCCGGUUAUCGGGAUUCUUUUUUUUUUUGAGACAUAGUCUCAUUCUGUUGGCCAGGCUGGAGUGCAGUGGCAUGAUCUCGGCUCACUGCAACAUCCACCUACUGGGUUCAAUCAAUUCUCCUGCCUCUGUCUCCUGAGUAGCUGGGAUUACAGGCAUGAGACACGCACCACCACACCUGGCUAGGUUUUUUGUGUUUGUUUGUUUUUUGUAUUUUUAGUAGACAUGUGGUUUUACCAUGUUGGUCAAGCUGGUCUCGAUCUCCUGAUUUCAUGAUCUUCCUGCCUUGGCCUCCCAAAGUGCUGGGAUUACAGGUGUGAGCCACCGUGCCUGGCCUGGUUACCAGAAUUCUAAGUUCUGUUAGGGUCUGUUGCCAAGGAAGUGAGGUCGCUUCUUUAAGUUUCCAUCCCCUCGGCCUCCUCCUUCCAGAAAACCUUCUCAGGACCCCAGUGGGCUGCUGACUGCUCACCCUCCCCACAGGUCAACUCCUUACCUGUACACAGUUAUGUCCACCCAGGGCCUGCUUGGACACCUGCACCUGAUGUUCACCAGAGACCUAGGAAUCCACUUGCAGCCUGUGAUCCUACAGGGGCCUAAUGUUACCCUGCAGAUUGGGUAGCCACCUGGGGACCAGGUAUCAACCUGGGGACUGUGGUUGACCUGCGGGCUAAUGUCCACCUGGGGACUGGUUACUCACCUGAGGCCUGAUGUGCACCUGGGGCCCGAUGUCCCCCUCAGGGUGAAUUCCACCUCAGGCCUGUAUGUCCACCUGGGGCCUGAUGUCUGCCUUAGGUCUAUGUCCCACUGGGACCUUAUGUUCACCAGGGACUGGUAUCCAGCUGUGGCCUGAUGACCUACUGCAUCCUGUUGCUCACCUAUGGCCCGGUGUCUACCUGGGGCUUGGUGAUCACCUGGGAGCUGGAUAUCAACCUGGGGCCUGGGUGUCCACUUAAGGCCUGAUGUGUGCCUGGGGCCUGAUUGUCCACCUGGGGACUGGGUGUCCACCUUGGGUCUGAUGUCUACCUGAAGUUAUUUAUCUACCUAAGGCUUGGUGUCUACCUGUGGCCUGAUGUCCACAUGAGUCUGGGGUUCGGUUGGGGCCUGCUGUACAUCUGGGACCUUGGUGUCUAUCUGAGGCCGGAUGUCUACCUGGUGACUGCCAUCCUCUUGAGGCCUGAUAUCCACCUGGGAAUGGUUUAUCCAUGGAAACCUUUAUGUCCACCUGGAGCUGGAUGUCGCCCAGGAGCUAGAUGUCCACCUGUGGCCCUGUGUCCACCUAGGGCCUGAUGUCCACAAGUUGGCCUGGUAUUCAUCUGGGGCCUUCAUGCUAAUGUGGCUUAAUGUACUCCUGGGUUCUAGUGUCCUCUUGGGACCUGAUGUCUACCAGGAUCCUGGUAUCCACCUGGGGCCUGGUAUCCACCUAGGGCUUGAUAUUCACCUGGGGCCUAAGAAUCCACUUGAUAACUGGUGCCCAUCGGGGUCCUGAUGUUCACCUUGGGACCGGGUAACCACCUGAGGCUUGAUGUCUACUUAGGGCAUAAGUGUUUAUCUGGGGUCUAGUGUUCACAUGGGGCCUGAUGUCAACCUUGAGCCUAGGUAUUCAUCAGGGGACUAGUGUCCAGCUGGGGCCAGAUGUUCACUUGGGGUCUGGUGUCAACUUGAAGCAUGGUUGUCAACCUAGGACCUGAUGUCCAGUCCAGUGUCCACCUUGGGCCUGUUUUCUAACUGGGGCCUGUGUGUCCACAUAGACCCUGGUGUCAAUUUGGGGCCGGGGUAUUAACAAGGGGCCUGGAUAUUCAUUGGUACAUUAUGUCUACUGGGGUCUUUGUGUCAAUCUGAGCUCUGAUGUCCACCUAGAGAUUGGGUAUCCACCUAAGGCCUGGUGUUUACAUGGGGCCUGUAACACGAGGUUCCAGAUGAACUCAGAUGUCCACCUGAGGCCUCAUGUCCACCUGAGUUCUGAGUGUUCACAUAGGGCCUGCCAUCAACUUGGGACCUAAGUAUUUACCUAGGGCCUGGGUGUCCACCUGGGGCCUGACUUCCAACUAGCUCUUGUGUCAACAUGGGGCCUGAUGUCCACUUUGGGCCUAGGUAACUUCCUGAUGACUAAUGCACACAUGGCUCCUAAGGACCAUCUGAGGCCUGGUAUUAAUUUAGAGACUGGUAUCCACCUGGGGUCCAGGUAUCCACUUAGGACCUGAUGUUUACCUGGAGUGUAGGAAUUCACGUGGGGCCUGGUGUCCACCUUGAGUGUGUGUAUCCAACUGAGUGCUGGUGUCCACCUGGAGUCCAGUGUAUACCCGGGGCCUGAUGUACAUAUGGGGCCUCAGACAAACACCAGGCCCCAGGUAGACAUUAGACACGAAAUGGACACUCAGGCCACAAGUGAACAUCUGUCCCCAGGGGGACAUCCAUCCCAAGGUGGACAUCAGGCCAGAGAUGUACACCCAGGCCCCAGGAGAACCCCAGGCCCCAGGAGGACACUCAAGUGCCAGAAGGACACCCAGUCCCUAGGUAACUACAAGGCCCCAGGUGGACAUGAUGUUCCAGAUGGAUAUGAGGCCCCAAGUGGAUACUAGGCCCAGGUGGACCCCAGGUCUCAGGGGCACACCAGGCCCCAGGGGAACACCAGGCCCUAGGUAAGCAUGCAGUCCCAGGUGGACACCAGGUGCCAGGAGGACACCAGGACCCAGUUGGUCAUCAAGCCACUGCUGAACACCAAUUCCCCAUGAACACCAGUCCUCAGGUGGGCACCUAGUCCUCUUGUGUGCAUCAGGUGCCAGGCUGACAUAGGCACCAGCUGAACUCUGGGCCUCAGGUGAACAUCAGAUCCCAGGUUGUCACCCAGGUCCCAGGUGAACACCAGGUUUUAGGUGGACACGAGGUCCUAGGUGGAUGUCUAUGCUCCUGGUGAACCUCAGGCCCUAGUGGACACUCAGGCCCUUUAUAGACAUCUGGCUCCAUAUGCACUCCCAGGGCCCAGGUAGACAUGAGGCCCCAGAGGAACACCAGUCCUUAAUCAACUAAGACUGAAUUCCCCUAGGGCUGGAGACUGAGUAUUCACCUUGGGCCUAGGAAUCUACCUGGGGCCAGAUGUCGAUCUGGGGCCUGAUGUCUACUCAGGUUCAGCUGUCCACCUAGGGUGUGGUGGACCUCUAUUCUGUCCCCACCCUGCAACAUUGGGCCAGCUCAGUCUCUGCCACCAGCUUCCCACAUCGUCGUCCCUCAGAGCCCUAGGGUGGGUUCCCCCUACCUAGUGUCUCUGGC